rnacentral:rRNA from 1 species
UGGGGAAUAUUGGACAAUGGGCGAAAGCCUGAUCCAGCCAUGCCGCGUGUGUGAAGAAGGUCUUCGGAUUGUAAAGCACUUUAAGUUGGGAGGAAGGGCAGUAAGCGAAUACCUUGCUGUUUUGACGUUACCGACAGAAUAAGCACCGGCUAACUCUGUGCCAGCAGCCGCGGUAAUACAGAGGGUGCAAGCGUUAAGCGGAAUUACGGGGCGUAAAGCGCGCGUAGGUGGUUCGUUAAGUUGAAUGUGAAAGCCCCGGGCUCAAACUGGGAACUGCAUCCAAAACUGGCGAGCUAGAGUAGGGCAGAGGGUGGUGGAAUUUCCUGUGUAGCGGUGAAAUGCGUAGAUAUAGGAAGGAACACCAGUGGCGAAGGCGACCACCUGGGCUCAUACUGACACUGAGGUGCGAAAGCGUGGGGAGCAAACAGG